CGCAUCGCUCAUCCUAUUAUGAGCUCAGUGCUCUUCCAUCUUUCUACAAGAAAGAUGCAGCAUUAUUAGUGAAAUAAUAAGAAAGUGAACGUUUUUGGAUUUCCCAUCUGACGAGCUGAAGGACAGAAAUAAGACUGCCUGACUACAUUUCCCCAGUGCCACCAACUGGGAGAUAAGCUGACUAACUUUUUGAAAGCCCAGCCCAUUUCAUUCACAGCAGGAUGGCAGUGGGUGACUGAUUGUACCCGCCA